AUGUCCUCUGUAACUCUGCUGCUGCUGCUGGCUGCUGCAUCCUGUGUGAAGUGUGAACAGCUGACCCAGCCAACUUCUCAAACUGUGCAGCCAGGUCAACGUCUGACCAUCAGCUGUCAGGUCUCUUAUUCUGUAAGCAGCUACUACACAGCUUGGAUCAGACAGCCUGCAGGGAAAGGACUGGAGUGGAUUGGGAUGGAAUGCAUUGGAUAUACCAAAUACUACAAAGAUUCACUGAAGAACAAGUUCAGCAUCAGUUUGGAUGGCUCCAGUAACACAGUGACUCUGAACGGACAGAAUAUGCAGCCUGAUGAUUCUGCUGUGUAUUACUGUGCCAGACGGCCACAGUGA